CGAACGGGAGAGUAAUGAAUCGCUAAUGUACCCCGGACUCUGGGAUAGCUGCCCGAAAGGGCAGGUAAUACCAGAUGAUAUAACUUGAUCGCAUGAUCGAGUUCUCAAAGGUCCGCCGGUCUGGGAGCAGGCGAUUUCGUAUCAGCUAGUUGGUAGGGUAACGGCCUACCAAGGCGACGACGCGUAGCCGGACUGAGAGGUUGGCCGGCCUCAUUGGGACUGAGACACUGCCCAGACUCCUACGGGGGGCUGCAGUAACGAAUCUUCCGCAAUGCACGAAAGUGUGACGGAGCGACGCCGCGUGUAGGAUGAAGCCCUUCGGGGUGUAAACUACUGUCAGGGGUUAGAAAGUUCUGAUCAACCCCAGAGGAAGGCACGGCUAACUCUGUGCCAGCAGCCGCGGUAAGACAGAGGUGCCAAGCGUUAGGCGGAAUCACUGGGCUUAAAGCGUGUGUAGGCGGACUGGUAAGUACCUUGUGAAAUCCCACAGCUCAACUGUGGAACUGCUUGGUAUACUGCUUGUCUUGAGCCACUUAGGGGCUACCGGAACAAAUGGUGGAGCGGUGAAAUGCGUAGAUAUCAUUUGGAACGCCAAUGGUGAAAACAGGUAGCUGGGAGUGUGCUGACGCUGAGACACGAAAGCCAGGGGAGCGAACGGGAUUAGAUACCCCGGUAGUCCUGGCCG
rnacentral:rRNA from 1 species